GGUUCCGUGGUGUGGGGUUUAACAUGCCUGCCUGUCACGCAGGAGAUCGCGGGUUCAAAUCCCGUCGGGACCGCCA
rnacentral:tRNA from 1 species